ACAGAAUGAUUGCAAUAUUCCUGAUAGAAGAAGGUGGCUGUCUGCAAGUAAUUUAGUGUUGACAACUUCAACCCUAAUUAGCUUACUUUUUCAAAGGAGCUUUUAAAACUCUUUUUCCUAGGGUCAAUUACUGUGAUCUCAUAACAUUUAAAAUGAUAAUAAUAAUCAUCUCUUGUAAGAGCUGGAUUCUGUCAUCCCGUUUUCUCACUUCUUCUCUCAGUGCAUCAGGGAUUAUGCCAGAUCUUGCUGGGCUGACAAGACACUGAUGUUUGAAAAUAAAAAAUAUAGUUUCUAUAGGCUGUGGGAAGGUGUGUCUUUGUGACUUGAGUUUUGCUUCAAAUCACAUGGAAAACAUUUAAAAUCUCAGAAGAUAACUGUUGCAUAUAGGCCUUCAUUUUGUUGCCCUUAUUGAAAGAGACCAUGCCACGUUUUUUCCUCUUUGAUUCAGGAUGUCUAGAACAAGAAUAAACUAUUUUAGAGGUAGUUUACAGUAUUUGGAAUACACUGUAAGAUGGGACAACAUAUACACAAGUCUGACAUAAGGAUUUCGUACACUCCAACUCCACUGUAUAUCCUUUGCGGUUCAUAUAGCAUCACUCCACUCCCUCUUGUUGUCCUGGGCACCUGUCCCCCUGACCAUCUGUACUCCGUGGUCACCAUGUGAUGUGGAGCAGGUGUGUCUAGACAAAAUCCAGUGGUGGUGAAAUAGUUACAGGUACAUCAUAUGCAAGUGUAAUAGAGAUGACCAUGGGUAUUUGGUAUUGGUACCAAGCCACAGAUUCCUCUGAAUGCCAUGUAGUGUGAAUAUGACUGGGCAGCUCUGAGCAGAGCUUGCAUGUAUGGAUGUAUGGAAAGCAGUAUGGAUUUAAGCUGCUCUGAACCAACUGACAUGGGAAGUAGGAAUUGAUCUGAAAUGGUUCAGGAAGACAGUAUGGAUACACAUAAUCCAUGGCAAACUUGGAAAGACUGUUUAAAUCUUCCUGUAAUGCUAAACAAAAUAUCACAUAAGCUGACUAUUGCUAUGGCUUUCCCAUAAGAUGCUUUUUAGAAAGAGUGUUGUGUAAUAUGAUUUUAGACUGCUUCUCUCCUCUUCCAGCAUGACUGACUCUUUCCCGACCCUUAUUCUCAGACAAACAUAAUCUUUUAAAUGUAGAAAUUUCUUUCCUUGUCUCCAAGAGUUGAAGUUAGCUUGUUUCCUCCGUCCUUUUCCAGACUUUUAAAUAUGCAAGCAACUAAUAAGCCAUUUUGCUCUACUCAGGAGUUUCUUGCAUUAUCAUAAAUUUGUUAGCACAGUAUCUCUUUGCAUGAAAGAGGAUAAAUGUAUUUAAUUAUCUUGUUUUGACUUGUCUAGAGAUACAGCCUAACACAUCCUGGUUUUAACCCCUUCUGUCUCUUCAGUAACAUAUAUUUUGAGUAUGAAAGAAUACUUGGGUGUCUCCAUUUUAUUACUGAUAGUUAGAAGGUAAUUAAAUUUAACAGAAAUAUACAUUCAAGGAAUGCACAGAAAAGCUUGAGUUACUCCCACAGACUUCCAGCCAAAGUAUAGGACCCAGUGGAAAUAAGCUAGCAUUGUUGCUGGCAGUGUUUUAUAGAGCUAUUCAUUAUCAUAUGAUAUAAAGUAAAUGAGCGAUAUCCAGGGCUGGUAUCCAACAGCAGUUGAGAGCACUAUGUUCACUGAAGCAUACAGGGGGAGAGUAAAGGAAGUCCUCUCCAUACUUCUGGAGAGGUGUAAGAAAGUCUGAAGUCCAGCAUGAGAACCACCUUUAUCAACAGGUUGUCAGGAAUGAUAGCGUGCCCUCUCUCAUGGAAAAACGCAUCCUGCCAUGACAUAAGGAGUACACACUGUUACACAGAAGAUAAUAUCAAAUGAUUAAUAUGUGUGCUGGCCAUUUUAUUCCCUCACUGAAAAUGUGCUGAAUUAUCACUUCUGCCAGAAAUUUUGUAGUGCUUCAUCCCUACGCAUUUCUCAUGUGAAUCAUUUUUGGCUUCAGUGCUAGACGCUUUUUAUACAGGAUACUUAAUAAUACAUAUUGAAAAGGGCAAUUCAUAUUUCUUUGAUAACUAGAGCUUUGGAUUCAGUGGUUUGUUUUUCUUUAACUCCAGGCUGUAGGUAACGCAUGAUUUAAUAAAAUUACUUGAGCAUUCCCUUCUGAGCACUGAUCAUGAUAGAAUAAUACAAAUGAUUGAUACUCAGCUCCUUUAUGGUAAGCCAAAAAAACCUGAUCGUGGUGUCAUAAAAAAGAAAUAGCAUUUUAUAGCAGCAAUCAAAGUUGAAUGAAAGCUAAUGAAUUAAAGGGAGACAUUUUAGUACCUCUUUUAAAGAAAAUUCCAAGAAUUUUAUGGAAUGUAUUUAUGUAGGUUCUAACAUAGGGUUCUUUUUAUAGAAUAGGUAGAAUACAUUAUGCUGUCACAGUAUUUAACAAAAACAUUCUAACAGCAAAGCAACUGUAACAGGGUUUACAAAAUAAGACUCUAAUGCUUUGAUUAGGAUAAUUAAAUAUUUCUCUAGUUUGUAGCUCUGUAAUGAAAUAACAUGUAAUAUUAACUGUGGAAGGAAGUGUGCAGUUUGUCUACAGUAAUUUCAUUAAGUAUAAAACCUACUUGUGAAGGCUCUUGAAUAUUUUCACUUUGAGGUUUUAUUUUGUUGGGCUAUUGUCUUUCAUGUAUGAUACAUUCAUCCACCCAUCCAGAAGGUAGAGAUUUAUUACUGCAAAUCUCUGAUAAUUUAGUUGUUACCCGCUAAUGGAUUAAUUCUGUGUUUGUAUAGUCCCCUUACGUUUGGUGCAAGUGUGAGCUGCUGCCAGCAGGGGCAUUGCCUUGCUUCCUCUUCUGUAGUUGUGGCUGCCUACUCUUGUUAGUGUUUCUGAGCCUAAAACAGAGAGAGGGUGAAAAAACCCCAACAAAUGGGAAAUGCUUAACUGGUUGGGUACCUACAUGAAUUACAAAGUUACCAGAACUGAAGAGAAUGCUAAAUUGAUUAUAUUUUUGUUUUUCUGCUGUUGUUGGUUUCUUUCAUUUUUAAAGUGAGGAAGGAAACUUUAACACUUGCAAUGUUACAAGCUUUCUUCAUAGUUGGAGAUGUAGGGAAGUGGGAAGAAGCUGUCAAGUCCACUGAACACAGUGGAAAUUGCUACUGUCAUUUUCAUGUCAGAGGUGGUUUAGGGUUAAUUUGGAGUUCAGGGAGAGACCCCUCACUGCUUGCCCUUCUAGGACAACAUAGGGCCAGGUGCUUCUCCCAUACCUUAAAAGUUCAUUAUUUCUUGUGACAUUAAGCACUGGCUUAGUGCAUAACCAACAGACUGUGAUCAAGUGGUAGUUCAUUUUGCUCCUUGAGUCAGUUGUGAAUCACUGUUGUUAUUUUACUGCUGACUCAGGGUGAACCAGCUGCUCCAUGUGCAUUGUCUCUGGCUAGCAAAAGGAAAUAUUUUUCUCUAAUAUUUUCUAAUGUAUUUGUUUACUCUUGGAAAGUGUAGGCAGCAAAAUUUUACUGUAAUAUGUGAGGGAGGAGAAUCCUAGGUAGAGAUUAUCAGAAGAUAAUGAAACGUAUACUUAUAUAUGGCAGGAUUUAAAAUUUUGGUGUUUCAUAUUUUAUGUAUGCUUUUUGCAUAAGCUAUUAAACAUUACAUUUUAAAUAUAUAUAUCGUUAGAUGCUUUAUUGUUCCCACUGAAGAUUCUCAUCUCAGGGUAAGAAACAAGUGACCUAAAUUUAAGUGUAGAACCAUUGUAUGAAGAAAGACAAUAUGCAGUCAUAGAAUCAUACAAUCAUUUGAGUUGAAAAGGACCUUAAAGGUCACCUAGUCUAACUCUCUUGCAAUGACUAUGGACAUCUAUAGCUAGAUCAGGUUGCUCAGAGCUCCAUCCAGCCUGGCCUUGCCUGUUGAGCAGAGUAUGCUCAGUUCUGGGGCAUCAGUGCCCAGGGAGUAUCUGGGAAGGACAGGUUCUCCACCCUGCCCUUGGCAACCACACUGAGGCCUUCACCAGUGCUUCUUGCUUCAUCCCUGCACAACCACAGCUGUGAAGGAGCAUGUCUGGUCCUAUGCGAAAUAGUCAUCUGGGCCAUGACAGUCCAUGAAGAGGAAGGAACGGUGAAAGGCACAACAGUUGCAGUCAUCUCCAGCUGUGGCACUGAGAAAAACGUCCCAGGGAGGAUGUUGCUUCUGUUUGCAGCAGGCUGUGGCACAGGGCCUUCCCUCUCUUUUCUGUCUCCUCCAUCCUGCCCUCUUCUUCCCUCUAGAAGCAGGUUAUCUGCCACCAGCUGUGAGUCCCAUAAACACAGCUCUAUGUGAGAAGACUCCUCCAUCAUCAGUGGACACUUCUUCCAAGCUCAACCUUCUUGUGAGCUGAUCUUACAACUCCUGUUACAACUCCUCUAACCUGAGCAAUACCUGGGUGUGGGUGGCUCGCUUUUGCACCAGAUGCUUAAAGAGUUUAUGUGGGCCAGCUGUUCAGAAAGCUGUCAAGAGGACCAUGUCUUCAGGCACCCUGUUGUAACUUAAGAGGAAGCAUUUGAGGAGUUUAUUCUCCAGACAGCAGCAGAGAUGCCACAGGAGUUCACCCAAACACAGGGACAAUGCCUCUUGUGUCAGGCUUGAUGGGGAUGUGGUCGUCACGUGGCAAAUCACUGCUGUCUUAAAGGCCUGAGAGGAAACAUUUGUGCCCACCAGCAGAUAAGUGCAAGUCUGCAGACAGUUGAGGAGGAAGCUGUGGUGCCAGACAUGCCCACCUAUCUUCCUGACAAACUGCAUAUCUGCCACAGCACAUUUUUCUGACUAUGCCAUGCUUCUGGUGAAGCUGGCAUCAGCCUACACAGUGCUCGGGAAGGUCUCUGAGUCAAUGAGAUGCACCCCAAGUGUCAUCUCAAUGGAGAAGGAUGGAGGGGGUGACCAGCUUGAUCUCGCAGGAUCCUUGAGAGGGCAGAACAUUUAGACAGCAAUCAUGCAACUGAGGCAGAUGUUUCCAAGCUGCUUUCAUCUGGUUCUGGAACCAGUGGGUGGUUUUCUCCAUGCACUGGCAGGACAUCCUUGCUGACAUCUCUUCCAC
rnacentral:lncRNA from 1 species